UACGUAGGGGGCUAGCGUUGUCCGGAAUCAUUGGGCGUAAAGAGCUCGUAGGCGGCUCAGUAAGUCGGCUGUGAAAGCCCGAGGCUCAACCUCGGAAAUGCAGUCGAUACUGCUGUGGCUAGAGUCCGGUAGAGGAGAGUGGAAUUCCCGGUGUAGCGGUGGAAUGCGCAGAUAUCGGGAGGAACACCAGUAGCGAAGGCGGCUCUCUGGGCCGGCACUGACGCUGAGGAGCGAAAGCGUGGGUAGCAAACAGG
rnacentral:rRNA from 1 species